rnacentral:rRNA from 1 species
CAGCCGCCACGGUAAUACGGAGGGGGCUAGCGUUGUUCGGAAUUACUGGGCGUAAAGCGCACGUAGGCGGCUUGGUAAGUUAGAGGUGAAAGCCUGGAGCUCAACUCCAGAAUUGCCUUUAAGACUGCCGAGCUAGCAGGUGAGAGAGGUAAGUGGAAUUCCGAGUGUAGAGGUGAAAUUCGUAGAUAUUCGGAAGAACACCAGUGGCGAAGGCGGCUUACUGGCUCAUACUGGACGCUGAGGUGCGAAAGCGUGGGGAGCAAACAGGAUUAGAGACCCGAGUAGUCCCUGUCUCUUAUAC